AACAGGGUCCUGACGUGCGCUACUCCUUGCCCGUUUCCCCUCUGGAGCACCCACUGAUGUACACCACCACCAGCGUGUACACCACCAACAUCAGUGGGACCGAUGUCAGUGGGCAGUACAGGCCGUGUCCCGCAAGGGUAUGCUAAUGAGACAUUGAAGGUGACAGGCAGAAAA